rnacentral:rRNA from 1 species
AACGAACGCUGGCGGCAUGCCUAACACAUGCAAGUCGAACGAGACCUUCGGGUCUAGUGGCGCACGGGUGCGUAACGCGUGGGAACCUGCCCUUAGGUUCGGAAUAACUCCCCGGAAGGGGUGCUAAUACCGGAUAAUGUCUUCGGACCAAAGAUUUAUCGCCUUUGGUUGGGCCCGCGUUGGAUUAGCUAGUUGGUAGGGUAAAAGCCUACCAAGGCGACGAUCCAUAGCUGGUCUGAGAGGAUGAUCAGCCACACUGGGACUGAGACACGGCCCAGACUCCUACGGGAGGCAGCAGUGGGGAAUAUUGGACAAUGGGCGAAAGCCUGAUCCAGCAAUGCCGCGUGAGUGAUGAAGGCCUUAGGGUUGUAAAGCUCUUUUACCCGGGAUGAUAAUGACAGUACCGGGAGAAUAAGCUCCGGCUAACUCCGUG